CGAAAAGCCCCGAAGCAAACUGGAGCUCAUCAAAAGCAGCUAGAUAUCCUGGCUCCUACUUGUGUGGUGUAUGAGCUGAGGUACCUGUGCCUGCAGCAUGAAAUGCAGGUCCCCCGUGGGGGAUGUCAGUACGAAAUAUGUACUGAGUAUGUAAAUCUGUAGAUAAUCACAUAUGAUAUAGGAGCUCAAUAGAAAUCAGAAACAAGUGAAUAAAUCGUAAUAGGA
rnacentral:lncRNA from 1 species